GCCGGCAUAGCUCAGCAGGUAGAGCGGUGCUUUUGUAAAGCGAUGGUCGUUGGUUCAAUUCCGACUGCCGGCUCCA
rnacentral:tRNA from 1 species